rnacentral:rRNA from 1 species
GAUGAACGCUGGCGGCGUGCCUAAUACAUGCAAGUCGAGCGAACAGACGAGGAGCUUGCUCCUCUGACGUUAGCGGCGGACGGGUGAGUAACACGUGGAUAACCUACCUAUAAAACUGGGAUAACUUCGGGAAACCGGAGCUAAUACCGGAUAAUAUAUUGAACCGCAUGGUUCAAUAGUGAAAGACGGGUUUGCUGUCACUUAUAGAUGGAUCCGCGCCGCAUUAGCUAGUUGGUAAGGUAACGGCUUACCAAGGCAACGAUGCGUAGCCGACCUGAGAGGGUGAUCGGCCACACUGGAACUGAGACACGGUCCAGACUCCUACGGGAGGCAGCAGUAGGGAAUCUUCCGCAAUGGGCGAAAGCCUGACGGAGCAACGCCGCGUGAGUGAUGAAGGUCUUCGGAUCGUAAAACUCUGUUAUUAGGGAAGAACAAAUGUGUAAGUAACUAUGCACGUCUUGACGGUACCUAAUCAGAAAGCCACGGCUAACCACGUG